AUGGGCAGUGCUUCCCUGGAUUAUAGAUUAUUCUGUGAACUGUGCAGUGACUGUGAAGAAGUGUCUGGAGGAAGAGAAGAUGGCGGCCGGAACAGCGCCACCGCCGGUGUCUGCCGGGCCCUUUUCAUCGGGUAUUGCAUUUACUUCGACCGCAAGGGACGGAGUGACCCCAACUUCAAGAACAGGCUUCGAGAGCGAAGAAAGAAACAGAAGCUUGCCAAGGAGACAGCUGGACUUUCCAAGUUACCAGAUCUUAAAGAUGCUGAGGCUGUUCAGAAAUUCUUCCUUGAAGAAAUACAGCUUGGUGAAGAGUCACUAGCUCAAGGUGAAUGUGAGAAGGGUGUGGACCGUCCCACGAAUGCAAUUGCUGUGUGUGGACAGCCACAGCAGUUGCUACAGGUGUUACAGCAAACUCUUCCACCACCAGUGUUCCAGAUGCUUCUGACUAAGCUCCCGACAAUUAGUCAGAGAAUUGUAAGCGCUCAGAGCUUGGCUGAAGAUGAUGUGGAAUGAGAAACAAAUGUCAACGUAAUAAAAUCUCAGUUAAAAAUACUUUAAAAAUUCUUAACUCGGAAGUUGAGCAGCUCUGGGGGAAUAAGGGCAAAUAUGCUUAUGACAGACUAUCCUACACUGAAAUCUACCAAAGUUCAUGUUUACUCUGUGUAGAUCCAUUUGUCACUUUUAUUUAUUUUUCCCAGUGAAAAGUGUAUUUUGAUAGAGAGCUUUUCAUUUUAUAAAUACACUACGAGUUACUGAAAUACCAUGGAUUUUGUUUAUUUCUUAAACAUGCAAUUAAAAUGUAUAUGUAACAGAGCAUUAUUAAAAAUACCCAGUGCUCAGUUUUGAAAGAGGCAAAAAAAAAAGUGUAAGAGAAAGCUGAAGAAUGCACAUUUUUAAAGCUUGUACAUUUUGCUAUAAACCAGAAAGUUACACAGAGACUUGUUUUAUGGAAACUGAGCAUUAAAAUUUUUGAGUGAUCUUUUCUUUCCAUUUAAUCUCUUAAACAUAAAUUUGUAAGGUGUGUUGCUGUGCUGUAUUAACAACUUCACCCCAUUCCCCUGCCCCCAUAUAUCAGUCUUGCAAUGCUUUGUUUAAAUCAGUGGUCUUAAUGUGUUCUGGGUAUUUAUCUCCUUGUAUUUUAAAUAUAUGUAGUUGCAAAUGGCACCAGGAAUUAGAUCUAUGUACGACCCCCUUCUGGCCAUGUGGACUUCACCAGUUCACAUCUGCUCACUUUCCUCACUGUAUUAAAUGAGGGAAUCAGGCUGCUAAUCUCUGAGGCAUACCUUUUAUCUUCUCGUUUUGGCCGAGAUGUUUAGCAUCUUUAACUCCACCUUUCCCUGCUUCCCCUGAGGAGUGUGUGUGGGCAGCUAGGCCUUGCAUAUUUUUAUUUUCUGAAUUUUGCAUGCUUGCCUGACUUAGUAGUUCUGAAUUAAUCUCUUUUUUAACGGUAUAACUAUAUUGUUGAUUUUUGCUGAAAUUAUGUGUUUCUGUCACUACCCCGUAAAUUAAUCUUUAACCUUUAAGGUAACUGGGAUGAUCUUGUAAAAAUGUUUCUUUCCUUUUAUCUUCAACGUACUUCCUUAAUCCUAUAUCAACUUGAUUAAUAUAUCUUAUUAAACGACCAGAAUGAGGUGUAACCUUGUGACUGAAGACUCGAAAAGAAUGGAGCCAUCUGCAGUCUCAGAUUCAGUUUCAGAACUGAGGGUGAGGAUCCUUGGUACUUAGGCAUCUGUUGAAGUGAGCAGCAUUUCUCAUCGUACAGAUUGCCUUUCUUCUGACUAAUAAUCUGGAGAGAUCCCAAAGACUUCCUGUAUACUAGGCAUUUUAUUUUGGUUUACAGAUUUUUCUUAACCAUUAUUAAUACCUUGGGUUUCUUGUGGCGUAGUGGAAAGAGUUAGGAAUACAGUUCUAGUUUCUGCUUCUGGUUAGCAGUGCACAGCCUUGGGCAAGUCGUCUAAACAUCUCUGAACUAAAAUAAGAGCAUUAGAUUAGGUGGCACACAUUUGAGGACUCUUUCAAGUUUUGUGAUCCUGAAGGCUUAAACAGUACUUUUUUGAAGGUGACACGCAAUAUGCUUUGGUGGGGCAUUGGGGGAGUGACCUGUACAAACAUGCGAGUUAAUCAGUUUUACUAAGAUCCCAAAUCCAAAGCCAUGCAUGGUGGUUGAUCAGUAACCAGGCAGCUAAGAAACGGUCUUCUGCACUAGCCCAGACAGAUAGAUAGCGGAGUAGUCAGAGGGAGAAGAGAGGUGGGAAAGGGAGCAAGGGGCCCGAAGAAAUGAGGGCUGGCUGCAGGAGUGAGGGCAGGCAGCUUCGCGUUGGGGGUGGUAGGAAGACUGCCCUGGAGAGCUGCAGUGUGAGCUGGGGAUCGCUAGGCUCCCAGAAAAUAAUUGACUUUGGUCUAAUGCUUGUGAAGGCAGCUGGUAUAUCUUCAUUUUGCAACUGAUUAAGCCAAGUACAUUUUCUUAGUUAAAUGAUAGCUUUAGUGUGUUAAAAUUAGGUACCACUUUUGAAAGCUAGCUGUGUUAAAAAAAAAAAAAUCAGCUGAUUCUUUCCCCAAGGAAUGUAAUUACU